GGCACUUCCCCUUCGAUCCCUUGCUCGCUGCUGCUGCCACGUAAGAAGUGUGUUGCUUCCCCUUCGUCUUCCACCAUGAAUAACAGAAUGGCAAUUUUCGUGUGGUGUUAAUUUCCGUGGAAGAAGAAAAGGCUCGACUCUCUGUCCUAUUUUUCAUGAAUACUGGAAGUAGGGAAUAAACCUGGAGUCUCACGGGUGAAAAGAGACAUUUCCAUAUCACCAGACCACAAACGUGGGUGUUGAUUCUAAGGAUACCCCCAAUAAACAUCUUUCGUGCUAAAGCCCAUUCCAGAAUUUACUUCCCAGCUAUCUUUGAUGUUCAUAUUGUCAGAGGUGGUGGCCGCUGAAACAGGCAAAGACAUGGAGCAUAUCUUGGGUCCAGGACCUUGGGAGUCCAGAGGAAGGUCUUUUUACCAUCAGCAUUCUCUACUGUGUUCAAUGACUGUCAGCCAAAGAUGGCCAGCUUUCCUUCAGAAAGAAAUGCAUUCAAAGAACCUACAUUCACAACAUAAAGAAAUAAAGCCUGCACCUACAGAUCUACACACAUGCCCAUGCACAUGCAGGAAGUGUUCAUCUAAGACUGGACCUUUUAGAAGAAAGCUGGCAUACAUUCGUGAAGGCAUGGGCUUCCAGGCAUGUCAUCUUCACUCACGAAGCACACACAAGACCGCCAAGCAUUAAGAUUCUCCUGUGGAGCCAGGCUACAAUCCUUUAAAUGAAGACAGACAGCUAGGUGGCUGCAGCCCAGCGCUACACCUCACCCCUCCCUCAGUGUCAUGCAGAAAAAAUGUAUUCAGAACUCAGAAGUGAAGUUGUGCAAAUCCAUCAUUGACACUAGCUUCAAGGUUACCUCGGGGGAGCAGAAUGUACCCCUGCCAGAGAGCUGGAUAGAUGAUGAUGGGGACAGAAAUUCUGGGGGAGUUGUAAAUGGCAGCCACUGCCUCUAUAGGAAACCCAAAGGGAACACAGCAGAAGAGGAGGUGGUGGAGGAGCCACUGCCCUCUCGAAGGGUUCAAUGUCAUUCUGCAGACACAACCAAAUAACUUUUUCUUCCCUGCUGCUCCUCCAUUUGAAAUGACAGCCCCGAGCUCGCUUUUUCCUUGAUUGUGUAACUCUGAUUACAGACAAGGCCAAGGCAAUCCCAGGGCAUUACUACAAAGCUAAGGGGUCCCCAAAGAACUAAAGAGUCAGCUCCACAAAAAUCCCGAUUCCUAGCAUGAAACUGAAAUAUGAAACCAAACGGGCAUAGAAAAGGUAUGUGCAUUCGAAUCACAUAGCAGUGACUGGAGUCCUGAGCUGUGUCUGAAGACUGUGAGAUCACGUUUGGAGCUGCUGAUUGGUUUUCAGUGAUGGCCCUGUUGCACAGUGCCGUGAGACUUAGCUCCAUGGCCAAAGACGAUGGUAUCCCCUAGGAGCCCUGUGAGGUUGCUGCUGUUCUCUUAAGACACCAGGUAGCCAUCUGAUCCUCCCUGAGCAAACUAACUGGGCAGACAGGUUUAUUAAACCUCUGUUGGUCCGACUUACAUGAAACAAGAGAGUUAUUUUGUUGUUGUUGUUUUGUUUUGUUUUAAAUUAAACCUGUCUUUGGAGCCUC
rnacentral:lncRNA from 1 species